rnacentral:rRNA from 1 species
GAAGGGGGGGGGGCAAGUGUUCUUUGGAAAGACUGGGCGUAAAGGGCACGUAGGCGGUGAAUCGGGUUGAAAGUGAAAGUCGCCAAGAAGUGGCGGAAUGCUCUCAAAACCAAUUCACCUGAAUGAGACAGAGGAGAGUGGAAUUUCGUGUGUAGGGGUGAAAUCCAUAGAUCUACGAAGGAACGCCAAAAGCGAAGGCAGCUCUCUGGGUCCCUACCGACGCCUGGGUGCAAAAGCAUGGGGAGCGAACAGG